rnacentral:lncRNA from 1 species
UUUACAUAGCUGCAGACUAUGCGAAAUACGUCGGACCGUCGGACAAAUCCGGUGAAUAAUGGAUCGGUCUGGUAAAAUUUUGUUGAAUUCCGGUCCGAAUGUCCGGUGUUUUUUUUCAUGGAACAUUCUAGCAAAAUUGCCAAACGAUCUCAAAUUCAUUUUCAUCUUUAUUAUUCACCACAGCGAUGUUUAUUUUGUUCAACCGCUAGCUUUAUGCCGAACAUCGACAACCAGUAAUGUGUAAAUCCGGGUAAAAACAUAUCUGACUGUCAAAAACAACAAUGGAUGCCAUCAUUGGCACAACCGGAAAUGUAAAUAAAACCGAUCAGAUUCUGGGAACGGAUAAGGAUAAUUCCGGGUUUGCCGAUUUAAAUACAAUAAAUGAAUAAACAUCCAAGCAGAUCACAAAAUUUAGCUAUGAAAUAUAACCACAAGAAUUGAAAACCAAAAGAUAUAUGAAAAAGAAAGAAGAAACAGGAAAUAAUAUUUUAUACAGAAACUCUAUUAAAUUAUGUUUAGUUCACAAACAUUGUCAAAAUCCAAUAAAAUGGGACAUUACUCUUCACUGAAAUGCAUUCAAGCAAUUGUGCACAACUUUCAUAACAAUAUCCCCUCUUGUUACAUCAUUUUGUUUUAAUUUUUGCAUUUCGGGGAGGAGUAGGGCACAACAAAGUCAUAUGUUUGUUGUUUUUUGUCGGAUAAUAUACAAUUAGAUGUAAAAAAAAAUUGGUCUGGUAAAAUUUCAUUCGGUCUGGUAAAGCUAGGAUGCUUACCAGACCGAAUGUCCUGUAAAAAUAAAAUUCAUUCGCGUAGUCUGAUAGC